rnacentral:rRNA from 1 species
AGUGAACGCUGGCGGUAGGCCUAACACAUGCAAGUCGAACGGCAGCACAGUAAGAGCUUGCUCUUACGGGUGGCGAGUGGCGGACGGGUGAGGAAUACAUCGGAAUCUACUUUUUCGUGGGGGAUAACGUAGGGAAACUUACGCUAAUACCGCAUACGACCUACGGGUGAAAGCAGGGGACCUUCGGACCUUGCGCGAUUGAAUGAGCCGAUGUCGGAUUAGCUAGUUGGCGGGGUAAAGGCCCACCAAGGCGACGAUCCGUAGCUGGUCUGAGAGGAUGAUCAGCCACACUGGAACUGAGACACGGUCCAGACUCCUACGGGAGGCAGCAGUGGGGAAUAUUGGACAAUGGGCGCAAGCCUGAUCCAGCCAUACCGCGUGGGUGAAGAAGGCCUUCGGAUUGUAAAGCCCUUUUGUUGGGAAAGAAAAGCAGCAGGUUAAUACCCCGCUGUUCUGACGGUACCCAAAGAAUAAGCACCGGCUAACUUCGUG